rnacentral:rRNA from 1 species
CGAAAGCCUGACGGAGCAAGACCGCGUGCGGGAUGAAGGUCUGUGGAUUGUAAACCGCUUUUCUCUGGGAAGAACACAAUGACGGUACCAGAGGAAUAAGCCUCGGCUAACUCCGUGCCAGCAGCCGCGGUAAUACGGAGGAGGCAAGCGUUAUCCGGAAUUAUUGGGCGUAAAGCGUCCGUAGGUGGUUGAGAAAGUCUGCUGUCAAAGCAUGGAGCUUAACUCCAUAAGGGCAGUGGAAACUACUCGACUAGAGUGCGGUAGGGGUAAGGGGAAUUCCCAGUGUAGCGGUGAAAUGCGUAGAUAUUGGGAAGAACAUCGGUGGCGAAGGCGCCUUACUGGACCUGCACUGACACUGAGGGACGAAAGC